ensembl:lncRNA
CGGAUAUCUGUGGGUGAUGAAUGAGCUCUCCCUGAAACCCAGUCCAUCUCCUGAGUGCUGAGCCACACGCCUGGGGUCAGAGGUCAUCUGAACAUGCUUAUCUGGGAGGGGCAGCAGGUGAGCGCUUGUUCAAACUGAGAUGUCUAUCUGUCGUUCUGUCUGUCUAUAGUUCUGUCGCUCUGUCUAACUCUCUAUCUAACGCUCUUUCUGUAGCUCUGUCUGUCUGUCGUUCUGUCUCUCUCUUUUGUUCUGUUUAUCGCUCUAUCUGUCUGUCGCUCUGUUUUCAUUCUGUUGCUCUCUUUUGUUCUAGCCAUCACUCCUUUUCUCUGUCGCUGUCUUUUGUUGUCACUCUCUUUUGUUCUGUCUAUCGCUCUAUCUGUCUGUCGCUCUGUCUUUCAUUCUGUCACUCUCUUUUGUUCUGUCUAUCCCUCUAUCUGUCUGUUGCUCUGUCUUUCAUUCUGUCUCUCUCUUUUGUUCUAGCCAUCACUCCUUUUCUCUGUCACUCUCUUUUGUUGUCACUCUCUUUUGUUCUGUCUAUCGCUCUAUCUGUCUGUCGCUCUGUCUUUCAUUCUGUUGCUCUCUUCUGUUCUGUCUAUCGCUCUAUCUGUCUGUCGCUCUGUCUUUCAUUCUGUCUCUCUCAUGUUCAAGCUAUCUGUUAUCUGCUAUCUGUCUGUCACUCUGUCUUUCGUUCUAUCACUGUCGUUUUGUCUAUCACUCUGUCUGUCGCUCUGUCUUUCAUUCUGUCACUCUUUUUGUUCUAUCUAUCACUCAAUCUGUCUGUGGAUUGGUCAUUCUCUUUUGUUCUAUCACUCCAUCUGCCAUUCUAAAUCUAUCACUUCAUCUGUCCAUAGCUCCACCGCUCUGUAUUUAGUUAUAUCUGUGGCUCUAUCUGUUGCUGUAUAUCUAUCAUUCUAGCUGUCUAUAGCUCUAUCAUUCUGUCUUUCAUUCUAUCAUUGUCUAUCUAUCUCUAUAUUACAAUGUUUCUAUCUCUCUAUUGUUCUAUCUGCUUAUUACCCUCUGUUUAUUAUUAUCACUCUUUUUAUCUCUUUAUCUUUCUAUCACUGUAUCUGUCUAUUGCUCUUACUCUAUCUAUCACUCUAUCUACUAUUACUCUACCUGUCUAUCACUCUAUCUCUAUCUAUCUUUUGUUUUUCAGUUUAUCACUCUUUUUUCAUUCUGUCAUCU